UACGUAGGGUGCAAGCGUUUGUCCGGAAUUAUUGGGCGUAAAGAGCUCGUAGGCGGUCUGUCACGUCGGCUGUGAAAACCCGGGGCUCAACCCCGGGCCUGCAGUCGAUACGGGCAGACUAGAGUGCGGUAGGGGAGACUGGAAUUCCUGGUGUAGCGGUGAAAUGCGCAGAUAUCAGGAGGAACACCGGUGGCGAAGGCGGGUCUCUGGGCCGUAACUGACGCUGAGGAGCGAAAGCGUGGGGAGCAAACAGG
rnacentral:rRNA from 1 species